UCCAGCUGCUCCCAGGCGCUGCUCGGCCAGGCCCUGAACAGGCGGGUCCGGGACACGUGCCCCGCUGCGGGCUUCGCGGCGUUACAUCCGGGUCCGGGCUGCGCGAGGGGUGUGCGGCCAGAGCCUUCCCGCGGGAGCGGCGCUGGGCCGAGCCCUGGAGCGCUGCGCUCCCCCUCCAGCGGGGCUGUUAGUCUGCACGGCCCCACGGGACUCGGCCCCACGGGACUCUGCCCCCGGAUCUGUAGCUGCUUUGGGAAGCCUCUUGCCGGCUGAGCUGCAGGAGAGACCGCGGACACUAGUGCAGACCGGCCACUGGAGCAGGAUUUGACCUGCAUUUCCCCAGCCAGUUACCCGACUGUUCAUUAGCCAAUAGGAGAUUAUUGGGCCCAGAUCCUCCAUGGAAGUUAGGGCCCUAAAUACCUUUGAGGAUCUGGGCUUUAGUGACCAGGAGUUUUGGACUCUGUUACUGGCUCUGGAAACUGUGUGUGGCUUGAGAAGAGAAAACAGGUCUCCAGUUCAUUCUUCUGGCAGCAAGACAGAAAUACCCUUGCCUGAAGGAAGGGGAACAGUGCACAAGUGGCUGGUUUCCGCUGAAAUGGGUCUGGCUUCUUUCCUCUGGCUCUUUUGGAGUAUGCCUGCCCUGCAAUUGGAGGUGUGACUGCAGCAUGUGUAGACAUACCUGAGCUAGUUUUAAUCUAGCUAGUUCAGGUACCAAUAGUAAUUAAACUGUGGCAGCGCAGACUAGCUGCUCAAGCACAAACCCACUAGAGAGCCUGGGUAUGAACCAUGAGCCUCUUUGGCCUGUGCUAUGUUAGCACAUGGGUUGUAGCUGGUUCAUAAUCCUCUGUGUAGUCCAGCCACAGGAAGAUACAGACCCACUCUGUGUUUGUGUGGGUUAUGCACAAUAAAAAGUAAAUUGCCAUACCGCUCAAAGCUGCAGUCCAUCCAAUGCUCUCCUUUUUCUAUCUUCCUGCCUCUUUUCCUUUACUUUUCAGUUUUUGAUUUGAUUCACUUUCCUUUCCUUUUUCUCUGUUUAACUCUCCCAUCCUCCCACACAUUCAUCUAAUGCCCUAUCUUCACCUCCUCACUUUAGAGUAUCAGGAGGGGAGAGAUGAGGAAGCCAUUUUGUUGCCCCAGGAAUAUGACUUGUCCUGUCUUUUCUCCCAGGAAGGGGAUGGGAAGCCACCAAAGGUGCCCCUGACCACACCCUCCAUGCCUUGGGCCGUACAGCAGAGUAAACUCGACUGCAAUACGAGGAGAACACAAGUUCUUUGGGUGUGGAUGCACACGGGUGUUUUGUGUGUCAAGAAUGUACUGGGGGAAAGCUACAUGAGACCAGGGAAGAGGAUCAGCACUGCCCCGAGUCCUGUCUUCAGCCGGGGACGGUUGAGAAGAAACUGAGGGGCGUGCGGGAUGCAGGCACUCAGGAAGAUUCCAACGAGAUGGGAGAUACCAUCUGAGCACCUGCAUCUCAGCCAGGCACUGCUACCGAAAAUCUCCGAUCAAUGGCACCGGGACACACCGACACCUAGAGUGGAGCACCCAC